GUUGGUAUCGCUUAGGGGUUAAAGCACUUCAUUGUGGAACGUAUUCUGAAUAUUCUGAAGAGCCGCUGGUUCGAUUACAGCUACCGACA